rnacentral:rRNA from 1 species
UGCAGUCGAACGCUUCUUUUCCCACCGGAGCUUGCUCCACCGGGAAAAGAGGAGUGGCGAACGGGUGAGUAACACGUGGGUAACCUGCCCAUCAGAAGGGGAUAACACUUGGAAACAGGUGCUAAUACCGUAUAACAAUCGAAACCGCAUGGUUUCGUUUUGAAAGGCGCUUUACGGUGCCGCUGAUGGAUGGACCCGCGGUGCAUUAGCUAGUUGGUGAGGUAACGGCUCACCAAGGCCACGAUGCAUAGCCGACCUGAGAGGGUGAUCGGCCACAUUGGGACUGAGACACGGCCCAAACUCCUACGGGAGGCAGCAGUAGGGAAUCUUCGGCAAUGGACGAAAGUCUGACCGAGCAACGCCGCGUGAGUGAAGAAGGUUUUCGGAUCGUAAAACUCUGUUGUUAGAGAAGAACAAGGGUGAGAGUAACUGUUCACCCCUUGACGGUAUCUAACCAGAAAGCCACGGCUAACUACGUGCCAGCAGCCGCGGUAAUACGUAGGUGGCAAGCGUUGUCCGGAUUUAUUGGGCGUAAAGCGAGCGCAGGCGGUUUCUUAAGUCUGAUGUGAAAGCCCCCGGCUCAACCGGGGAGGGUCAUUGGAAACUGGGAGACUUGAGUGCAGAAGAGGAGAGUGGAAUUCCAUGUGUAGCGGUGAAAUGCGUAGAUAUAUGGAGGAACACCAGUGGCGAAGGCGGGUCUCUGGCCUGUAGCUGACGCUGAGGCUCGAAAGCGCGCUGAGCAA